CCUACGGGAGGCAGCAGUGAGGAAUAUUGGUCAAUGGGCGGGAGCCUGAACCAGCCAUGCCGCGUGAAGGCGAGUGCCCUACGGGCGUUAAACUUCUUUUGUGCGGGAGCAAAAAGGGCAACGCGUGGCCCGAUGAGAGUACCGCACGAAUAAGCAUCGGCUAACUCCGUGCCAGCAGCCGCGGUAAUACGGGGGAUGCGAGCGUUAUCCGGAUUUAAUGGGGUUAAAGGGUGCGUAGGCGGCGCAUCAGGUCAGCUGUGAAAUACCUGGGCUCAACCCCGGGGCUGACGUUGACACCGGGGCGCUAGAGUACCGAUGCGGUCGGAGGAAUGUGUGGUGUAGCGGUGAAAUGCAUAGAUAUCACACAGAACACCGAUUGCGAAGGCAUCUGACGAAUCGGGGAUUGACGCUGAUGCACGAAAGCGUGGGUAUCGAACAGGAUUAGAUACCCCAGUAGUC
rnacentral:rRNA from 1 species